AAAUGGUUGCGCACGUGAAGAGUAAUCUUGCGUGUGAGGAAAGUCCGGGCUCCGCAGGGCAGGAUGCAAGCUAACGGCUUGCGGAGGCGACUUCAGGGAAAGUGCAACAGAAAGAUACCGCCCGAUUACAUCGGGUAAGGGUGAAAAGGCGAGGUAAGAGCUCACCCUCCCCUGUGGUGACGCAGGGGACGCUGUAAACCCCAUCCGGAGCAACGCCUGAUACGGAGGUUAAGCUUGCCCGGCAUCUCCGAAUACGGCGGCUUGAGACAUAUGGUGACAUAUGUACCAGAUAGAUGACCAUUCUCGACAGAACCCGGCUUACUGUCUG
rnacentral:RNase_P_RNA from 1 species